ACGGCGUGGAGCUGCUGCUGGAGCUGGAACGCCGCGGCCUGUGCGACGAGACCAACUUCCGGCACCUGCUGCAGCUGCUCCGCGUGCUCACGCGCCACGACCUGCUGCCCUACGCCACGCUCAAGCGGCAGCGCACAGGUACCGCCCGGCGCGGCCGGAUUCGGGGGAAAAGGGGGGAGGCAGCGGCCGCGCCGGCUCAUCCCGUCCCGCUCACGUCCUCACUCCCUUUUUCCCCGCAGUGUCCCCGGAAAGGUACACGUACGGCCCCUCGGUGGCCGCCUCCGACCGCCGCGUGGACACUUGCCUCAAUUCCGCCGCCGCCGAACCCCGCCACGAGCACUGGGAGACGGGUUCCACCUCGGGCAAGCGGAAGCGGGUGAGCAGAGGCCGGACGAGGGCCGGGACGCUCGGCCGGCGCCGGGGGGCCGCGGCGGCUCCCGCCCCCCAGCCCGAAGCCCCCGGCUCCGCCAAAGUGACCUGCGGCCGCGGCCUCUAACGAAGAAGGUUCAAAAAUAAGUCAGUGAGGGGCAAAACGGCCGCUGCCCGGCGCCGCCACCGCCCGGCUCCUCCGGCGG
ensembl:lncRNA